GUAGAAUGGAUGCUGGUUGUAAUUAACGUGUAUGUGCUUUAUUGGCUAUCUGCCGAAUGCAGAUAGCUGUAUGUACUGUAUUUUCUUUCGUUUCACGAACUGCACUCUUGCGGGCCAUUCGUGAACCAAAAAUACCCCCAUGUAGUAGCCCACACACUUAGAGGCGUGUGGCACUUGGUAAUUAGAGGCUCUCCUAGGUGGCCGCCGUUCGACUACCGACCAUGCGGCGGUCGGCCAUCUUGGAUCCUUUGUUCCCUCAGCGGUAUUUGGUCGUCGAGCACAUGGUACUAAAAACGGCUACUCUAUGGCGCGAACACCACUGAGCUUCCAGGCCGUUCGGGAGGUCUGGGCUGUUCGGUAUUUGGUUCCCUGGAAGGCAAUCGGUAUUUUGAACCUGUAUUUUAAUGAAUGUGUUUUUCGUGCGGCGUUCGGUUGGUUUAGCUGGGAUCUGAGCAGUAAUCUCACGAAUGAUGCGCUCAGACCCCAACUAUCUACCGAACGUCCAUUCGUUUAAAUGAACUGCAUAUUCGAAAAGUUAUGGAUUUUAAUGUCAAUUGUCGGUUCUGCUGCACGAAGGGAUAAUCCACUUAACGGUACAUUCCUGUGGGAGGAUCCCUCUCAUGCAGCAGUGCCUGAUGGGAGAAAUGUCUUGCACAGUAAGUCCCCCAUGUAGUCCCCUCUGGGAAUGCCCCUGGGAGGGGACUCAGGAAACCCCUUGCAUUGGGACUUGUAUAAAUUGUGGAGCUGAAAAUAAAGACCUCAGUUGACUCUCAGAACAGUGUUUUGUCCGGUUACUGGGAGGUUUGGGAUAUUGCCUUGCUUUUUCCAGCGCUUGACUGUGGAUUACUUCCUGAACCAGCGGAAUUCGUGGAUUUAAUAUUGGCAUUCCGCUACUUGGACAGGCAGCUAUUUUGGUAACUAGGAC